rnacentral:rRNA from 1 species
AACGAACGCUGGCGGCAUGCCUAACACAUGCAAGUCGAACGAGACCUUCGGGUCUAGUGGCGCACGGGUGCGUAACGCGUGGGAACCUGCCCUUAGGUUCGGAAUAACUCCCCUAAAGGGGUGCUAAUACCGGAUAAUGUCUUCGGACCAAAGAUUUAUCGCCUUUGGAUGGGCCCGCGUUGGAUUAGCUAGUUGGUAGGGUAAAAGCCUACCAAGGCGACGAUCCAUAGCUGGUCUGAGAGGAUGAUCAGCCACACUGGGACUGAGACACGGCCCAGACUCCUACGGGAGGGAGCAGUGGGGAAUAUUGGACAAUGGGCGAAAGCCUGAUCCAGCAAUGCCGCGUGAGUGAUGAAGGCCUUAGGGUUGUAAAGCUCGUUUACCCGGGAUGAUAAUGACAGUACCGGGAGAAUAAGCUCCGGCUAACCCCGUGC